rnacentral:misc_RNA from 1 species
GAUGAAGAACGCAGCGAAAUGCGAUAAGUAAUGUGAAUUGCAGAAUUCAGUGAAUCAUCGAAUCUUUGAACGCACCUUGCACCCCUUGGACUGCUCCAAAGGGUAUGCUCGUUUGAGUGUCAUUGUACUCUCACACUCUCUGAUCCUUUGGAUUUGGGGAGCAGUGGACUUGGGUGCUUGCUGCUUCCUUGUGGCUCACCUGAAAUGCAUCAGUGCAUCUCUCGAUUGGACAUAGUACGGCGUGAUAAGUGUCUUCGCCGGCACCUCAUAUGAGGGUGGCCGAUCGGGAGCUCUGUGCUUUCAAACCGUCUUCGGACAACGCUGACAACUUGACCUCAAAUCGAGUAGGACUACCCGCUGAACUUAAGCAUAUCAAUAAGCGGAGGA